UGUUGUUGUUUGAGCUUGAACUCGAAAGACUAGAAGAACUGUCUACGAAUCCUUUUUUUCUUUGAAUAUGACGAUAUCAUCUUUGUUGUGUACAGAACAAAACACAAGACAUUUAUGACGAAAAUAAAAAGUACUUAUAAUUUUUUAAUGAUUUAUGAGAAAAAAAAAGGAUACAAAAGUAGAGGAAAAAAGCAAAACGCUGAUGUUGAUUGAUUGUUCCUCUUUUUAUCUUGAAGUUGAUUGAUUAGUUCCUCAUUUGGGAAGAACAACCUUUUUUUAAGACAAUGAACUACAAUGUCCAUUGUUGUGGUCUUGUCUUCAAUAAAUUCUCUAUUCAGUCUCUUUGUGGUUCUAGAGAUCUCUUUUUUUUGGGAAUAUUGAAUCAUUGUGUGUCUCUUCCAACACUGAUUUUAAAGUUAAAAUGUUAUCACGUCAAGGCUGAACUUUUCACCCAUCUAUUCUUGAAAAAAAAUGUUUCCCUCACUUAAUAUCCCCACUGAUACCAAAAAAAAAAAAUUUGUUUCCUUGACUAUUAGAU